rnacentral:rRNA from 1 species
AUACGAAGGGGGCAAGCGUUGUUCGGAAUAACUGGGCGUAAAGCGCACGUAGGCGGAAUGUUAAGUUAGAGGUGAAAUCCCAGGGCUCAACCCUGGAACGGCCUUUAAUACUGGCAAUCUAGAGACCGAGAGAGGUGAGUGGAAUUCCGAGUGUAGAGGUGAAAUUCGUAGAUAUUAGGAAGAACACCAGUGGCGAAGGCGGCUCACUGGCCCGAUACUGACGCUGAGGCGCGAAAGCGUGGGGAGCAAACAGGAUUAGAAACCCGAGUAGUCC